GCAAUUUGAAGAAUAUUGGUCAAUGGCCUAACGGCUGAACCAGCAACUUGCAGGAAUGAGAGUUAAUAUAAUAAGUUUAUUAACUUGCUUGACUAGGUCUUAUAAAGUUCUGGAUAAAGCUUAUUAUGAAAACUUUAUAUCCAUAGGUCUCGACCAAAUCUUGUGCCAGCAGUCGCGGUAAGACAAGGGAGACGAGUGUUAUUCAUCUUUAACAGGUAUAUAGGGUACCUAGACGGUGUGCAAUGGCUUAAAUAAGUACCUGGUACACUUGAGUUUGAUAUGUGAGAGGAAUAUGUCGGAAUUGUUGGAGGAAAGAUGAAAUUUGUUAAUACCAAUAGGACUGAUAACGGCGAAGGCAAACCUCUAUGUACAUGUACUUGCUAUCUCUCUAUUAGAGAGGAACAGAAAUUUCUCUUAUAAAAAAUCUUAUAUAAAAAAAGAGGAAAACAGCAAUGUGCUAUAACUGACGUUGAGGGACGAAGGCUCAGAGAGUGAAGAGGAUUAGAUACCCCCGUAACCUGGGCAGACAAUGAUGAGUGCCAUAGGUUGGCUUUAAGGCGGAACUAUAAAUGAAAGUGGAAGCACUCCACCUCAAGAGUAAUGUGGCAACGCAGGAACUGAAAUCAUUAGACCGUUUCUGAAACCAGUAGUGAAGUAUGUUAUUUAAUUCAUUGAAAUU
rnacentral:rRNA from 1 species